GUUUCUAAUGGAUGGUGACCCUCUGUGUGACAACAGCCCCACUGUCCUGCACCCACACAGGUCACUGGAAAAAGUCUUUUACAGGACUUGUUGGUGCCUGCUGUACCUCCAUCCUAGGAGAGAGGGAUGCUUCAGUGAGGCAGUGUGACACAGAGUGUUUCAUUCUUCCUUGUCAGCGAGGUUGUUUGCCCAGGACCAUCUGUGCCGCUCAGAUUACCCUGCUCCGGGUCAAGCGGUCACCGAGGGACCAUUUCCCACACCUCACUUAACGCUCCUAGGCCUGGACACAGUUCCAAUUUUCUGGAGGUGAGAGAGGGAAGAGCAGAAUUUUUGAAUGAAUUACGGUGCCUGGGGCACCAGCUGUUGCAGAUGGGAGUUUUCAAGGCCCAAUUCGUUUCUCAGAAGAAUCUCCUUAGACCCCUAAAGUGAUAUCAAAACCUGAG